GCAUAUCAAUAAGCGGAGGAAAAGAAAAUAACAAUGAUUCCUCUAGUAACUGCGAGUGAAGAGGGAAAAGCUCAAAUUUUAAAUCUGUUAGGUUUACCUAACCGAGUUGUAAUUUGAAGAAGCGUUUUCUGCGAAUUUGGUUAGUCCAAAUCCUUUGGAAUAAGGUAUCAUGGAGGGUGAGAAUCCCGUUCGGUUAACCAAAGCGCUUUACGAUACGCUUUCAAAGAGUCAAGUUGUUUGGGAUUGCAGCUUAAAAUGGGAGGUAAAUUUCUCCUAAGGCUAAAUAUUGGCGAGAGACCGAUAGCGAACAAGUACCGUGAGGGAAAGAUGAAAAGAACUUUGAAAAGAGAGUUAAACAGUACGUGAAAUUGUUGAAAGGGAAACGAUUAUAGUCAGUCGUACCUACGAGUAAUCAACCUACUCGAGUGCGAUUUUGUGGGUAUGUUAGAGCUUAAAAACCUUCAUGCUUACAAAUUGGUGCUCUUUGGGCGUACUUUCUCGUAUGGUAGGUUAACAUCAAUUUCGGUCGUUAUAAAAUGACUGGAGGAAUGUAGCUUCGACCUCGGUUGAAGUGUUAUAGCCUUUGGUAGAUGUAAUGAUUGGGAUUGAGGAUUGCAACGGAUAUCCUCUGGGCUAUUCGUCUGAUCUCUGGAAGUUACUUUGGUGUCGAAAGCGUUCUUACGGCAUUAAGGUUGACGGCCAAUAGGUUAGAACGUGAUUAAAUUCGUUAAGGAUGUUGACGUAAUGGCUUUAAACGAC
rnacentral:rRNA from 1 species